rnacentral:rRNA from 1 species
UGCAGUCGAACGAUGAUGCCCAGCUUGCUGGGCGGAUUAGUGGCGAACGGGUGAGUAACACGUGAGUAACCUGCCCUUGACUUCGGGAUAACUCCGGGAAACCGGGGCUAAUACCGGAUAUGAGCCGUCCUCGCAUGGGGGUGGUUGGAAAGUUUUUCGGUCAGGGAUGGGCUCGCGGCCUAUCAGCUUGUUGGUGGGGUGAUGGCCUACCAAGGCGACGACGGGUAGCCGGCCUGAGAGGGCGACCGGCCACACUGGGACUGAGACACGGCCCAGACUCCUACGGGAGGCAGCAGUGGGGAAUAUUGCACAAUGGGCGAAAGCCUGAUGCAGCGACGCCGCGUGAGGGAUGAAGGCCUUCGGGUUGUAAACCUCUUUCAGCAGGGAAGAAGCGCAAGUGACGGUACCUGCAGAAGAAGCGCCGGCUAACUACGUGCCAGCAGCCGCGGUAAUACGUAGGGCGCAAGCGUUGUCCGGAAUUAUUGGGCGUAAAGAGCUCGUAGGCGGUUUGUCGCGUCUGGUGUGAAAACUCGAGGCUCAACCUCGAGCUUGCAUCGGGUACGGGCAGACUAGAGUGCGGUAGGGGAGACUGGAAUUCCUGGUGUAGCGGUGGAAUGCGCAGAUAUCAGGAGGAACACCGAUGGCGAAGGCAGGUCUCUGGGCCGCAACUGACGCUGAGGAGCGAAAGCAUGGGGAGCGAACAGGAUUAGAUACCCUGGUAGUCCAUGCCGUAAACGUUGGGCACUAGGUGUGGGGCUCAUUCCACGAGUUCCGUGCCGCAGCAAACGCAUUAAGUGCCCCGCCUGGGGAGUACGGCCGCAAGGCUAAAACUCAAAGGAAUUGACGGGGGCCCGCACAAGCGGCGGAGCAUGCGGAUUAAUUCGAUGCAACGCGAAGAACCUUACCAAGGCUUGACAUGCACGA